GUCCUAGGGAAGAUCCAAGGGGCCUCAGUACAAAAGGGCCAUGGCAAGUACCUUCCUUGGCCCUGUUCUUUGUGCGGGUCAGGGGGCGGUGCCUUCACUGAUCUAAGAGCCAGCCUAAGAGUCAGAACUAACAUUUAUUGGACAUUCAUGGUGUUUUUCAAGCAAUUUGUGCAUGGUGUAGAAGGCCAGCCAGCAAGUCAGACUAAUUGAUGCAAAUUCCAGCUCCAGGACAGCAACACGGGAUUUUAUUUGACAGAGAAUGAGAGAGAGAAAGAGUACGAGGAGACACAGCAGCGGGGUGAAAGCGAAGCAGACUCCGUGCUGGGCAGAGAGCCUCACGCAGGGCGGAUGCCAGGCCCUGGGAUCGCGACAGGAGCCAGAGCAGCGUCCAUGAAGUUUCACUGGAACAUUCGUUAUGUCUGUCCAUGACUGCUGUGCGGAACAUCAGAGUUGAGCAAUUAUGAGAGAGCGUGUGGCCCCCAAAGCCUGAAGCCUGUACCAUCUAUCUGAACCUUUACAGUACGAAGCACAGCAGAAAAGGGCCUCCUUCGCCUGUUGGCAGAGACUUCCUAGUUCUCAAUCUUCAUGACUCCUCUUGCCGCCCUUGACCUAAGACAGAACCCUCAACCUCCGUAAGCAAGAAAUCCACAUACCUGUUUGCUUAUAUGCAAUGUGCAUUGAAUCCCGGUAACUGUAAUUACCUGGAGUAGGGGAGGACGAGAGGAAUUGAGGAUAGGAAGAGGACUUGCUCUUCACUCAAGUGCUGUUUGAAUUCUGUCACAUACAUAUUACUUUACAUUUUUUAUUUAAAAACAUUUCAAGCCUACAGAAGGGUGUCAGGAACACCUGUAAGUGUCCUGUACCCACCAACAAGUUCAUGCACUCUACCUCCCUCCCAUUCCAUUCUCCUCACCCCCACCCUGCAGACCUCUUCAACCACCCCCAGGAGUGAAGGAGACCUCAGAAUGCUUAACAUUCUCAGCAGUGGGCAGUGCUAACAACUGAUAGGUCAGAAGGCCAGUUGAAAGUUGAUUGCCAUCCCAUAGACUGUUGACCAGCAUGCGGACUUUUUAUUUUGCAAAUUUAGACUUAGAAAAAAGUUGCCAGGAUAGCACCCUCUGCUCAGAUUCCCCUAAUGUUAACCACAGUAGAAGGACCAAAGCCAGGGGAUUAACAAUGAUACAACACUGUUCACUCAUCUACUAACUUUAUUUGAAUUUUGCCAAAUGUCCCACUAGCAUCCUUUUCUGGUCCAGGACCCCAUUCAAACCCCACGCGGCAUCUAGUUGUCCUGUUCCCUUCCACUCCUACCUGGGACAAUCCUCCAUCUCUCCUUUCAGUGCAACACUUUGGCCAGUUCUUUUGUAGGACAGAUCUCACUGUUUUCUCCUUACUAGAUUGAAGUCGUCAUGCAUUUUUGGCAAGAAUACCACAGAAGUGAUGUGCCCUUCUCAGGAUACGGUAUCAGGUGGUGUUGGUGUGGCUAGUACCGGUCAUAAUAAUUUUGAUCACUUGGUAAAAGUGGUGUCUCCCUGAGGUUUCUCUGCUAUAAAGUCACUGUUUUCCUUUGUAAUUAAUAAAUAUUCUAUGGGGAGAUGCUUUGUGACUAUAUAAAUAUCCUAUCUCCUUCAUACUUUUUCCCACUAAUUUAGUGUCCCUUGAGGAUUCUUGUUUGCAACAGUUAACUGCCAUAGCUUUUUACCAAAUAGUGAUUUUUCUAUUUCCACUGUUCUUUCUCCAUUAAUGGGAAUUCUGCUGUAAAAAGAAAUUGUCUCUUUCCCCCAUUUAUGUACCUCAGUCCAUUAUUUUUCUAUCGUUAUGGAUGGUCUCUUAGAUAUUACUAUUAUUUUGUGCUCAUAUGAUACCAGAGUUGGCUAUUGAGAGCUCAUCUGAGGUAGCCCCUGUGCUCUUUGACACACCGCCAUCAUUCCUGGAGCACUUCCUUACUGUCUGGCACAAGAAGUUCCAGGCCCAUCUGGUAAUUUUCCUCCCAGCCCAGGAGUCAACAGUUUCUCUAUGAGCCCUGGUUUGUUUUCGUGGAGAAUGGUAUUUAGAAAGUAGGGUCUAGGCACCAAUCAGAUUUAACUUGGUUAAAUGAGAAUGCCAAACUGGACUGGCCUUCAGAAGAGCUUGGGAAGGAGAGAGGCAAACAGUGUAGGGCAGAGAGGGGAGGUGAGAAGCCAAGACACAAACACACUGAGGUUGAGAGAGAGUGCAGAGCAGCGUGAGCCAAGGGAGGGAGGGCAGCGUGACUGUUCAGUCCUUGGCUGGGACUACCCUUGGGAAGCAUGGUCUCCAUGCAAAUAUAAGGAAGGAUUCAGAAAACCCAUCAGCAAAACAAGAAAAGAAAACCUAUGGAAUGGGAGAAGAUAGUUGCAAAUGACAUAUCUGAUAAAGGAUUGAUAUUCAAAGUAUAUGAUGAACUUCUAUAACUCAACACCAAAAAACCCCAAAUAAUCUGAUUUAAAAUGUACAGAGGACUUGAACAGAUACUUCUCCAGAGAAAAAAUACAGAUGACCAACAUCACUGAUCAUCAGGGAAAUGUAAAUUAAAACCACAAUGAGCUAUCACUUCACACCUGUCAGAAUGGCUCAAAAACUCAAAACACAAUACUCAAAAACAUAAGAAAUCACAAAUGUUGGUGAGGAUGUGGAGAGUAGGGGACCUUGGUGCACUGUUGGUGGGGAUGCAAAUUGUGUAGCCAUUGUGGAAAACAGCAUGGAGGUUCCUGAAAAAAUGAAAAUAGUAUUACCAUCUGACCCAAUACCGUAUGAUCCAAAUACCCACUACUGGGUAUUUACCCAAAGAAAACAAUAACACUAACUCAGAAAUAUAUAUGCACCCCUAUCUUUAUUGUAGCAUUAUUGACAAUGUCCAAGAUGCAUAAGCCACCCAAGUCAAUCCGUAGAUGAAUGGAUAAAGAAGAAGUGGUAUAUAUACAGCAGAAUAUUAUAAAAAAGAAUGAAAUAAAAGAAUGGCACAAGAUGUUCCAGGAGCAUCUGGUAAUUUCAAAGCCAUAAAAAAGAAUGAAAUCUUGCCAUUGAUGACAACAUGCAUGGAUCUAGAGAGUAUUAUGCUAAGUGAAGUAAGUUAAAUCCCAUAUGAUUGUACUUAUGUGCAGAAUCAAAAGAACAAAGAAAAUAGAUCCAUAGAUACAGGGAACAAACAUGGUUGCUGGGGAAGGGAAUGGGCAAACAUGAGUGAAGUGGGGUGGGGGAUAUAGACUUCCAGUUUGGGAAUGAGUAAGUCAUGGGAAUAAAAAGGGAUGCAUAGGGAACGUCAUCAAUGGCCUUGUAACACGUUGUAUGGUAACAGAUGGGAACUAUGCUUGUGAGCAUACAUGUAGACUUAUGGAGUCACUAUUUUGUACAUCUGAAACUAAAGUCACACUGUGUAUCAACCAUACUUCAAUUCAAAAAACAAGGAGGAGCACCUGGGUAGCUCAGUAGCUUGAGUAUCCCUCUCUUAAUUAGGGCUCAGGUCAUGAUCUGAGGUCUGUGAUCCAGCCCAGUGUCAGGAUCUGCACUCAGCAGGGAGUCUGCUGGAGAUUCUUGCUCUCCCUCUCAUUCUGCUUCUCUCCUCUUCCUAAAAUAAAUACAUCUUAAAAAGAAAAAAAUGCCUCACACCCUCCCCCCAAUCAAGGAACACUGGGCUGUAGGCAGAGCUUGUGCUGGGGUAUAUACCUGGGACCUGAAGUUGGGAGGAAGAGGACUUACCAUUUUUGUCUUACAGUGUUUCCUUUUGUCAAACUGAAGAACAAUGGAAGGGACGCAGAUGACUAGUGCAGUGGGGUUCACCCAGCACAAACAGGUCUUUGCAUGGGGGGGCCAGUUGCUUUGCGGUUCCAAAUGCUGAGAUCCUUGGGGCUCAGAGGGAGUACAGCUAUCAAACUCCUCUGCUUGUUACCCACAGCAAGAAGUACAUCUUACAACGUGUCCUAACAUAUAGAUAGAUACCUGUUCAACUUAUAUCAGUACCCACUCUUGUGAUGUAUGACACAAGCUGUUUUCCUAGGCAGGUUACUUCCCGCUAGUUUCAUUCAUUUACAUACUAACGAAUGGAUCUUAACCUACAGUUUGAAGAACAGCCUCCAGGACAACUCUUACUGUGCAGACAGGGUAACUGAGGCCUAAGAAGGGAAUGGAGUGUCCCAAAUGCUAUGGUUUUUUGAGAUGACCAUUUUACUUAUGACCUU